rnacentral:rRNA from 2 species
AAGGCAGCAGGCACGCAAAUUACCCACUCCCGGCACGGGGAGGUAGUGACAAAAAAUAACGAUACGGGACUCAUCCGAGGCCCCGUAAUCGGAAUGAGUACACUUUAAAUCCUUUAACAAGGAUCCAAUGGAGGGCAAGUCUGGUGCCAGCAGCCGCGGUAAUUCCAGCUCCAUUAGCGUAUAUUAAAGUUGUUGCGGUUAAAAAGCUCGUAGUUGGUUCUGUGUCCCACGCUGUCGGUUCACCGCCUGCCGGUGCAACUGGCAUGCCGUGGGAUGUCCUGUCGGUGGCGGCCGUGACCCACGGCGAGUGUAGGUAGCCACCGAAGCUCGCCGCUGCGUGUCAGGCCGCCGAUUCAAUCCUGCCGCGGUGCUCUUUACUGAGUGUCGAGGUAGGCCGACACGUUUACUUUGAACAAAUUAGAGUGCUCAAAGCAGGCUGAAUUCUGCCUGGAUACUGGUGCAUGGAAUAAUGGAAUAGGACCUCGGUUCUAUUUUGUUGGUUUCCGGAAUCCGAGGUAAUGAUCAAUAUGGACAGGCGGGGGCAUUCGUAUUGCGACGUUAGAGGUGAAAUUCUUGGAUCGUCGCAAGACGGACUAGAGCGAAAGCAUUUGCCAAGUAUGUCUUAGUUGAUCAAGAACGAAAGUUAGAGGUUCGAAGGCGAUCAGAUACCGCCCUAGUUCUAACCAUAAACGAUGCCAGCCAGCGAUCCGCCGAAGUUCCUCCGAUGACUCGG